ensembl:lncRNA
CUACAUUCAGUCUGAGAUAUUAAGAAUAAAUAAAUGUGCAUAAUGUUGAAAUGAAAAGAUUUCAUUUUUAUUUAUUCCUACAGCUGGUGCUGGUAAAGUUCCAGAAUGUGGAGGAAUUUAGUCUCACAAUCACAGACAAUAAAUAUUAUCUGAAAGUCUGGUGAUUGUUGUUUAUCAGCACAAUACAAAAAGAUUCAUGUUAGACAUAUUCCAGUUAAGACUCUAGAAUAUCAUGAUUUAUGUAAAUUUACCUCAAUAAUAUGAAUGUUCAGGUUAAGAUUGUGCAGUGAUAUUUAUUAUGUAAGUUUAGCUGAUUAAAGUUUAUGACUCUGCACUACAAUAUUAUUUAUUAUUAAAAUUAACAUCAUUAUUAUAAUAUUUAGGGUCAGACCCUACAGUAUUGAGAUUAAGAAAUCGUUCUAUAAAUUUUCUAUAAAAUGUAAGUACACUGAACUCAUUUGGAUAUAUUCGAGACUCUACAAUAUUAUUUGACACAAAUCUAUCUAAAUCCAAAUUUUAAUCAUUUUUACUCCAAACAUGUACUAGACUGAUUUAAAUAUUAAAAUCACUCCUUUCUAAUCCUCUGCUGUACGUUCAAACCUGAUGCCUUAAAUAGAAACAAGUAUCUGAUUGAAGGAACUUCUGCAGAGUCCUGGUUCCAGAACAUGAUGAUAGAAUUAUAGACAAACUUUAACAAAAGCUGCCUGAGAGUUUACAGGUUUUUAUGUUAGAUUUCUUCAGUAAUUUAAUGAGUUAUCAGCAAAAAUCAAGUGUUCAUUUGAUGAACUUCAUUUCCUUAAACAUCCAGAAUUGGAGCUCAUAUCUUUGGCAGCUGUAAAGUUUCUGCUCCUUCAAAGUUCACAACACAAUGAAUGAAUUCCUAAAACACUCUCAAUGCUGGAGAGCGUUUGAUGCUGAAGCAGUGAUCAGUUUUUCUGUUUCUUCUCUGGAGAUGCACAAUGAGGGAUGUCUGCAGAGACUGAGAAAGAGUCUCACCACAUCCUGACAUGAGGAAAAAGACUUUACUGAAGACUACAAUGAGAAAAACUAUCAGACAGCAGACGGCUGCAUUCAAGUCUGUAGCUGCUGAAUUCAUGGAUGAAUCAUCUGGCACUAGAGAGGAAGACCAUCAAACAUCCACGUCAGCUGAUGGAGGUCCAAGAGUCUCACCCAACAAACAACCUACAGAGUGAAGACCUCCAAUCUGAUUGGAC